rnacentral:lncRNA from 1 species
GGCCAAAACAAAUCACAACUUUAUAAAAUAAAAAUUAGUAAAAAUUAAAAUUACAACAAUUUUAAAUAGAAAAAUUUGUAUGAAGGACAUGGUAUAUUUUGCUUUAUUUCUGUUAAAGUUCAAUAUAUAUGUAUAUAUAUGUGAUAGUAUUUGUCACCUUUACUAUGUGAUGUUAUAGAGAGUAAAAAAAAAAAAAAAAAAAAAAAUGACUUUUGCUCAUUUUAAUAUAAAAACUUAUGUACGAAUUCGAAAUUACAAUUUGGUUAAAACUGUUCAGUGUUUUUUAUACAGUUAUCCUACUGUUCACUGUCAAAAAUUAACAACUUCGAAAACGAAUUUGCAAAAUGUGUACGGGUCAGGUAAAAACGUAAAUAUACAAUAUAAUAAUUGGAAUGAGUCAGAUAAUGACCAAUCGGAGCUAGCUAAAAAGUGGGAAGAGCUUAUUAAUAAUUGGGGAGAGUUGGAUAAUGGACAAGGAGAGGUAACUAAAAAAUGGGACAACCUAAAUAAUAAUCAGAAUGAAUUACAUAAUGAUCAUUUUGAGUCAACUAAAAAGUGGAACGAGAUGACUAAAAAGGAUGAUAUUUUAUGUACUGAAAACAACAUAAUCCAUAAGGAUGAUAAAUUACUUUCGUUUAACGAUACAAUACUAUUAAGAAAAGAAUUAAAAAGUAAUAAAAUAUUUUCAGUUUAUACGAAAAGUUAUAUUCAUAAAGAGAAUGAACAAAUAUUAAUAACAAGCAUUAGAAAAUUAAAUGAAUAUGAACGUAUAAAAAAUAAUAUAAAAUUAAGUGUGUUUAUAUAUGAGUUACAAAAUUUGAGUAAGUCUAGAAUAAGUUUUAAUGUUUUGCAACAAAUUACUAUUAUUAAAAAACUAUUUGAACACAUUAAUAACAAUAUAGGCAGUGUGUCAUCUGCUUUUUUGCUUUUAUCAGUUGCUAUAAGUUAUAAAAAUAUAAAAUUAAAUAAAUACACUUAUUUUAAAAAUGUUUUAAGUACUAUAUGUAAUAAUAUAAAAGUAUAUAAGAGUAAUAAAUUAAAUAGAUUGUUAAAAAAUAAAAACGAAAAUGAAAAUAAUUAUAAAUAUACUAUUGAAUUAUUAAAUAAAAAAAAAAAUAAAAAAAAU